AACGAACGCUGGCGGCAGGCCUAACACAUGCAAGUCGAGCGCGCCCUUCGGGGUGAGCGGCGGACGGGUGAGUAACGCGUGGGAACGUGCCCUUUUCUACGGAAUAGCCCCGGGAAACUGAGAGUAAUACCGUAUACGCCCUGUGGGUGAAAGAUUCAUCGUAAAAGGAUCGGCGGGCGUUGGAUUAGGUAGUUGGGGGGGUAAUGGCCUACCAAGCGGUCGAUCCAUAGCUGGUUUGAGAGGAAGAUCAGCCACACUGGGACGGAGACGCGGUCCAGACUCCUACGGGAGGCAGCAGUGGGGAAUCUUGGACAACGGCGGCAACCCUGAUGGAGCCAUGCCGCGUGAGUGAUGAAGGCCUUAGGGUUGUAAAGCUCUUUCAGCUGGGAAGAUAAUGACGGUACCAGAAGAAGAAGCCCCGGCUAACUCCGUG
rnacentral:rRNA from 1 species